AGAAUUUCACAUGGCAACAAGAACAACUGUGAAGUUUUCAAGAGACAGUUACUAUUAAAACCUUGUUACUGUUUUAUUAUUAUUAUUGAUUUUCACUUCUUUCAAUGUGUUGAAAAACGAUCCAUUUAGGUCACUGUCGGUCAGCUUCAACGUCAUGGCUUUUGACAGAGAGUUAUAGUUUUCUCUUAUUACUGUUAUCUUCUCCGUCUGGGGAAAUGAGGGGAACCUUGAAUGUGAAUAUGAGCUAUUUUGCUUGCUUACUCGACUAAGGAUCAUCGAAGAGUCAGCUAGGGAGAAAGAGAGUAUUGGGCUUUGGAAAGACAGCUCUGUCCUGCACUCAUGAACCAGUCUGCAGUACUUGCUAUCAUCUGGUGCAUUUUUGCUUAAAUUAACUCUAUCCAUACUGGCUUGUUUCAUCCAUGGCUGUCAUCUCUGCAAAAAUAUGGCCAUUAAUUGUAGCACUGUAAGUAGUUAGAGAAACAUGAAUUAAUGGUCUGACCUCAGCUCGUCCACCUUGAAAUCAAUGUCAGAGGAUGGAUCUAUGAGCAUUUACAUGUUUAAGUACUGUGCUGGGGAGUUUUCUGAUUGAAAUAUCAAAGUAUUUUUCUUGAAGAUGCAAUUAGAGCAAUUCAUUUGAAAUCCCAUGACUAUCGAGUUCUGAAUCUUCUCCUGUAGCAGUUAAGAGGGGAAAAGAUAUUGUCAAGAUCAUGAACAAAUUUCUGUCACGAAUUUUCAUGCCAAACACUGAUUAAUCAAUUCUGCCAGUCCUUUCUGUCCGGUUCUCAAUUAGAUGGCUAGUUACCGAGUAACAUGUAGCCUAUUGUUUGGUUAGUUUUAUGUAAUUAGGGUAAAUGUAUUUUCUUGGUGAAUGAUGAGCAUAUGGAAUUUCUAUCCAUCUCGGGAUUUCUAACGGAAGUAUAUCCGUUGAUCUAUAAAUGCUAAAUUUCUUUGUUUUCUUAUCAA